GCUCGUGUAGCUCAGUGGUUAGAGCUUCGUGCUUAUAGCAACAUUCGGUUCUCCGAAGUUACUGUGCCAAAGACCUUUCAAACAGGCCUUACAAAGCAACGCGACCGUCGUGGGUUCAAUCCCCACCUCGAGCA
rfam:Saccharomyces kudriavzevii IFO 1802 unplaced genomic scaffold c1756, whole genome shotgun sequence.